UACGGAGGGUGCGAGCGUUGUCCGGAAUCACUGGGCGUAAAGGGCGCGUAGGUGGUCCCUUAAGCGUGUGGUGAAAGCUCGGGGCUCAACCCCGAGUCGGCCGUGCGAACUGCUGGGCUCGAGCACUGUAGAGGCAGGCGGAAUUCCGGGUGUAGCGGUGGAAUGCGUAGAGAUCCGGAAGAACACCGGUGGCGAAGGCGGCCUGCUGGGCAGUGGCUGACACUGAGGCGCGACAGCGUGGGGAGCAAACAGG
rnacentral:rRNA from 1 species